rnacentral:lncRNA from 1 species
CCACACAGCUGAUGGAGCUCACUGCCUUGCACAUGUUGUAAAACACCUCCUGGUUACAAGGGUCAGCUGUGGAGACACAGCUUGAUGGGAGGGACUGGGUCACGAGACACCCCUGGCAAGGACCAGCUGGCAGAACAGGCUGGACACUCUCCUUCAGCCUCCCCAGCAGCCCUACCUGUGCUGUCAUCUGUGCUGAUGAUCUCCGUGACCCAGAACAAGUGGCAUCCCAGGAGCCUGGGAGGGGCUGGCAGAGACUUACUGGUUCCAGCAAAAGCCCAUGUGGAUGCAGCAAUGCUGCCUGCUGGUCCUUGGCUGUAAUUACAAACAGGUACUUGAGGUCCCCAUGCAUCUUGCAGCUCUCAGAGAGUGUGUUCCAGCUGCUCAUGGUAGGCACUUUUAGUCACUGAACGUGCUUCAGGAAUGGCCAAGCUUGAUUAAGCCAGGCGUCUUGCUGUGAGACCCUCCA